rnacentral:rRNA from 1 species
UACAGGGGGGGCAAGCGUUGUUCGGAAUUACUGGGCGUAAAGGGCUCGUAGGUGGCCAACUAAGUCAGACGUGAAAUCCCUCAGCUUAACUGGGGGACUGCGUCUGAUACUGGAUGGCUUGAGUUUGGGAGAGGGAUGCGGAAUUCCAGGUGUAGCGGUGAAAUGCGUAGAUAUCUGGAGGAACACCGGUGGCGAAGGCGGCUUCCUGGACCAACACUGACACUGAGGAGCGAAAGCCAGGGGAGCAAACGGG